rnacentral:rRNA from 1 species
AUUGAACGCUGGCGGCAGGCCUAACACAUGCAAGUCGAGCGGAUGAAGGGAGCUUGCUCCUGGAUUCAGCGGCGGACGGGUGAGUAAUGCCUAGGAAUCUGCCUGGUAGUGGGGGAUAACGUCCGGAAACGGGCGCUAAUACCGCAUACGUCCUGAGGGAGAAAGUGGGGGAUCUUCGGACCUCACGCUAUCAGAUGAGCCUAGGUCGGAUUAGCUAGUUGGUAGGGUAAAGGCCUACCAAGGCGACGAUCCGUAACUGGUCUGAGAGGAUGAUCAGUCACACUGGAACUGAGACACGGUCCAGACUCCUACGGGAGGCAGCAGUGGGGAAUAUUGGACAAUGGGCGAAAGCCUGAUCCAGCCAUGCCGCGUGUGUGAAGAAGGUCUUCGGAUUGUCAAGCACUUUAGGUUGGGAGGAAGGGCAGUAAGUUAAUACCUUGCUGUUUUGACGUUACCAACAGAAUAAGCACCGGCUAACUUCGUG